UGGGGAAUAUUGCACAAUGGGCGCAAGCCUGAUGCAGCCAUGCCGCGUGUGUGAAGAAGGCCUUCGGGUUGUAAAGCACUUUCAGCGAGGAGGAAGGUGGUGGACUUAAUACGUUCAUCAAUUGACGUUACUCGCAGAAGAAGCACCGGCUAACUCCGUGCCAGCAGCCGCGGUAAUACGGAGGGUGCAAGCGUUAAUCGGAAUUACUGGGCGUAAAGCGCACGCAGGCGGUUUGUUAAGUCAGAUGUGAAAUCCCCGGGCUCAACCUGGGAACUGCAUUUGAAACUGGCAAGCUAGAGUCUCGUAGAGGGGGGUAGAAUUCCAGGUGUAGCGGUGAAAUGCGUAGAGAUCUGGAGGAAUACCGGUGGCGAAGGCGGCCCCCUGGACGAAGACUGACGCUCAGGUGCGAAAAGCGUGGGGAGCAAAACAGGAUUAGAUACCCUGGUAGGUCCACGCUGUAAAACGAUGUCGAUUUUGGAGGUUGUGCCCUUGAGGCGUGGCUUCCGGAGCUAACGCGUUAAAUCGACCGCCUGGGGAGU
rnacentral:rRNA from 1 species